rnacentral:rRNA from 1 species
UCAUACGGGAGGCAGCAGUGGGGAAUAUUGCACAAUGGGGGAAACCCUGAUGCAGCCAUGCCGCGUGUGUGAAGAAGGCCUUCGGGUUGUAAAGCACUUUCAGUUGUGAGGAAAAGUUAGUAGUUAAUACCUGCUAGCCGUGACGUUAACAACAGAAGAAGCACCGGCUAACUCCGUGCCAGCAGCCGCGGUAAUACGGAGGGUGCGAGCGUUAAUCGGAAUUACUGGGCGUAAAGCGCACGCAGGCGGUUUGUUAAGCUAGAUGUGAAAGCCCCGGGCUCAACCUGGGAUGGUCAUUUAGAACUGGCAGACUAGAGUCUUGGAGAGGGGAGUGGAAUUCCAGGUGUAGCGGUGAAAUGCGUAGAUAUCUGGAGGAACAUCAGUGGCGAAGGCGACUCCCUGGCCAAAGACUGACGCUCAUGUGCGAAAGUGUGGGUAGCGAACAGGAUUAGAUACCCUGGUAGUCCACACCGAAAACGCUGUCUACUACCUGUGUGUGCCUUUAAAACGUGCGUAGCGAACCUAACG